GGAUGUGGUCAACUCAGCAAUCGGUGCUGUGCUUUGGUGGGUGUUGGGGUUGGGGUCACCGUAGUGGUGGUGCUGAUGGGUAUCAUGGUUGGGGUCUGUGUGCCGGUGGGUGUUGGGGUUGCGGUCACCGUAGUUGUGGUGGUGAUGGGUGUCACGGUUGUACUCUUUGUGCUGGUGGGUGUUGGGGUUGGGGUCAUCGUAGUGGUGGUGGUGAUGAGUACCGUGGUUGGGGUCUGUGUGCCGGUGGGUGUCGGGGUUGGGGUCACCGUAGUGGUGGUGCUGAUGGGUGUCGAUGUUGGGGUCUGUGUGCCGGUGGGUGUUGGGGUUGGGGUCACCAUAGUGGUGGUGGUGAUGGGUGUCAGGGUUGUACUCGGUGUGCCGGUUGGUGUUGGGGUUGGGGUCGGGGUGGUGGUGGUGGUGG
rnacentral:lncRNA from 1 species